rnacentral:misc_RNA from 1 species
GCUAAGCAACACAAGAUCAUUUGGAAUGCUAUCCUUACUCAUCACAUCUGAACUGAAAAGUGGAGCUCUGAAAGUCCAAUGAAAUGUUGCAAUCCAGUAAUCUUGCUUUACCAGGUCACAGGAGCAGAAACUUUGACAGGAUCGUUUGAAGAGAUAUAUAAAUUGGCCAGAAGAUGGCUAGCACUGCAUUGCAUGGUAUGCUUUAAGCCAGAUGGAGGCUCCCAUCUUUCCAAUUAGUUGUGUCACACCAAUGAAAUUGCCCAUACUAUCAGAAUGUGGUAGAACAAUCCCUUGUACAUCGAUGGUCAUUCCAUUAG